AACGCGAAGAACCUUACCCAGGCUUGACAUCCUGUGAAUUUCUCCGAAAGGAGAGAGUGCUUUAUUGAACGCAGUGACAGGUGGUGCAUGGCCGUCGUCAGCUCGUGUCGUGAGAUGUUUGGUUAAGUCCAUCAACGAGCGCAACCCUUAUGUUUAGUUGAAUUUCUCUAAACAGACUGCCCUGGUAACAGGGAGGAAGGAGGGGAUGAUGUCAGGUCCGUAUCUCCCUUACGCCUGGGGCUACAGACACGCUACAAUGGCCGGUACAAAGGGCAGCCAAGUCGCGAGACGGAGCUAAUCCCAUCAAAACCGGUCCCAGUUCGGAUAGUAGGCUGAAACUCGCCUGCUUGAAGCCGGAAUCGCUAGUAACGGUAAGUCAGCAUAUUACCGUGAAUACGUUCCCGGGCCUUGUA
rnacentral:rRNA from 1 species